GAAUAUUGGGCAAUGGGCGCAAGCCUGACCCAGCCACGCCGCGUGCAGGAUGACACCCCUAUGGGGCGUAAACUGCUUUUAUACGAGAAGAACCCCUCGGACGUGUCCGGGGCUGACGGUACCGUAUGAAUAAGGACCGGCUAACUCCGUGCCAGCCGCCGCGGUAAUACGGAGGGUCCAAGCGUUGUCCGGAUUUAUUGGGUGUAAAGGGUGUGUAGGCGGGCUUGCAAGUCAGAGGUGAAAGCCUGCGGCUCAACCGUAGAAUUGCCUCUGAUACUGCAGGUCUUGAGUCCUGGAGAGGUUGUCGGAAUUCGUGGUGUAGCGGCGAAAUGCGUAGAUAUCACGAGGAACACCGGUUACGAAGGUGGGCAACCGGACAGGUACUGACGCUGAGGCACGAAAGCGUGGGGAGCAAACAGG
rnacentral:rRNA from 1 species